CAGAAAUCGUCCAGCUGGAUACUCUGCUGCCCGUCGGUACCACACAGGGAAAUGGUCAAUAGUGAAAAGAUUUUCUUUAUCGGAUGGAAAUCCUAUGACAGUAAAUGUGAGUCUGAGUAGGCUGAGUCGUGAUGCAGACAGAGAGAUCUUGAAUAAAGUCACUCACUUGGCCCCACGCUUCUCUACGCCCGUGUAUCUGAUCAUCCUCAUGAGACCGGAACGUGUGCCCAGGAAUGCAGUCUCCACACCCCCAUCGAUGCUGAAUGACGGAGGCGUGCAGAGAAAUGCGAAAGGCAUGGCCACAGAAGUCAUCAGCAGCAAGCUCUCGGCCUGUGUGUUAAAAAGCUGAAAGACAGAGAGGAAGAGGGAUGACACUGACUGAACCAAAGAGCUAUACAGGGUUGCUUCCUGUGUUUAACAGAUGGCUCCUAAUGGGACAGUGCAGGGAGAUACUGGAGAUUAAUGCCAACAACGUUCACCCUAUCAGCUGAACCCAAUGAGUACCCUUCAUCCGCACUCCAGUGUUUACUCACCAGCACACACAUUCCCCGAAGCAGUUUAGCUUUUCGCAGGUACUAUUUAGAUUUGAAAUAGCUUGCGAGUUCAUUGGCUCUAAUGCUUAUGAUAGCCGUCUUCUGAUGGUCCCCCAUUAAAACCACUUCACAUAAACCAACACAAUCAAUUAUUAACUGAAGAGCCUGGGGAAUUGCACCUCUUCUUAUUGAAAAUGUUGUUUUUAAUGAGGUUUUUACAUUUUGGUGUUAAUUAGCAUUUAAGGGCCAGCAGUCAGACGCACUCGUAGAGUUACAGAAUUUCCCUAGGGGAAACUUAGCGCUCUUGCUAUUGUAACUAUCUGGUUAUUCUGAAAUCUUUUGAU